rnacentral:lncRNA from 1 species
CAAGAGAGGGCUAAGCGCCGAUCCUUGAUGAAGCCGCACAACCACUGGAAAAUGGUCUUAGUCGCCACCCACCGUCCUAACCCUAGUCUUAGCUCCAUCGUACAUGUCCUUGAUUACUCUGAUGUAGGCUUCCGGCUAAGGCUGUAUUGUGUUCCGGUUCUGGGUCUAUUUGUGCCAAGCGUUCCGGGUCUGACGGUUCCGGUUCUGGCGGUUCCGGGUCUGGCGGUUCUGGCGGUUCCAGGUCUGGCGAUUCUCAUGGUGGAACCGGCCCGUGACGGUUCCAGGUACCAUGCGGUUCCGGUUCUGGCGGUUC